CCUGGUGUAGGGGUGAAAUCUUUAGAUAUCAGGAAGAACACCUGUGGCGAAGGCGAGUUUCUGGCUAUUAACUGACGCUGAGGCGCGAAAGCGUGGGGAGCGAACAGGAUUAGAUACCCUGGUAGUCCACGCUGUAAACGAUGUGCACUAGGUGUGUGAGGUUAUGAUCUUGGGUGCCGUAGCAAACGCGUUAAGUGCACCGCCUGGGGAGUAUGCUCGCAAGGGUGAAACUCAAAGGAAUUGACGGGGGCCCGCACAAGCGGUGGAGCAUGUGGUUUAAUUCGAUGAUACGCGAGGAACCUUACCAGGGCUUGACAUAUAGUGGACGGCGGCAGAGAUGUCUCUUCCCUUCGGGGCUGCUAUACAGGUGCUGCAUGGCUGUCGUCAGCUCGUGCUGUGAGGUGUUGGGUUAAGUCCCGCAAAGAGCGCAACCCCUGCUGUCUGUUACCCACACGUAAAGGUGGGGACUCAGGCGGUACUCCCGGUGACAAACCGGAGGAAGGUGGGGAGGACGUCAAGUCAUCAUGGCCCUUAUGUCCGGGGCUACACACGUGCUACAAUGGCCGGUACAGAGGGCAGCGACACCGCGAGGUGGAGCAAUUUGCAGAAAGCCGGUCUCAGUACAAAGAGGAGUCUGAAACCCGACUUCAAGAAGCGGGAAUCG
rnacentral:rRNA from 1 species